CUAAAUUUGAUGACUUCUUGUAGCUGCACUCUUCACAUACAUAACUCCAUUUGUCUUCUAACCCUUGCUGAAACAAACUACGUCCAAACUCAAAAUGCUAACCGUCCACUUAUGUUUUUCUUCCUAUCAUCUACUCCUUUUCUUCAUGUUUCAACACCGUUCACUUCUCUCCCAAAAUUCACUUCUCCUUUUCUCAAACAAACCAAGUUCUCCUCUUCUUCCCUACGUGAAAAACACAUAAAAGUGUGGUUCCAUUUCCAUUCAACAAGAAAUAACUCAACACCUCCAAGACGGCGGUUUCACAAAUGAAAGGUGAAUCAACUCUACACAAGCUACUCUACUAUGAAAGCAGAAUAAAUGAACUUCUAUUUGGUUCUACACAAAGCCAAGAAUCAUCUUCUCAAAGGUUACAAGAUGCUAGAAGAGAUUGUAUAAAGAUGCAGAGAACUAAAUGAAAAGAUGCGAUCAUGAUUCAACAAGAGGAAUAAACAACAACCAAUUCAUUCAUCAUCAGAAAUAUUUUACAGAUCUCUUGAAAUAAAAAUACUCAAAGUAAAAGAACAAACAAGUGGUGCAUGCUUCCUCCUAGCCGUAUGCUUCUCCUUCCAGUCUCCACACCAGUUGCUUCCUCCUUCUUCUAUCCAUGCUGAGUGUACUCCUCUGUCUCUUCUCCCUGUGUGUAGACUAAUGGAAUUGGAAUAAUACCAAGAGCUCUAAAAAAAACAGAAGUUCCAGAGAGAUGGAUCCCUUCUCAAGGCCGUAUGCUCCCUCCUUUGUUGUCCUCUGCUUGGCUCAAGAAAAACAUUUUUCUCCUCCUCCCUAGAAUCCCAUGUACCAAGAUAUGUUUCUGAAGCAAACAUGCAGCCCCCUUCCAAUCAACAAGUGACAGCUGGACUUCCAAAUUCUUCUUGGACCAAACCAAUGCUUCUUGUGUUUGCUGCUGGCCGUGUAGCUCUCUUCUCCAUGUGUUGGUUCCCAUUUCUUAUUUCACUUUGAUUGUUGGAUGAAAGACCAAGCAAGGCUUGUGGAAUGGAUGUUAGUUUGUAACUUCAAUUGUUGUGCAGCUCUCUGGAAAACACGUUCCAAACCAAGAAGUGUGGUGGCUUCACUUCUAUUAGCAUUUGUUGACUUGCCAAUGCAAAACUUGUGGAAUGUGUGGUCCCUUAAUUAAUUUGAGUUUUGCCAAACCAUUCUCUCAGCAAAAACCGUGGAAGCUUGUAAUAUGGUGCCCCCCUUUUUCUACUUUGUUGUCUCCCAUUAAGAGAAACAAGCCUCCCAUUUUGUGAAAUUGCUGUGAGUAUUGGUUGUUCACGUGGCCA